rnacentral:rRNA from 1 species
AGAGUUUGAUCAUGGCUCAGAACGAACGCUGGCGGCAUGCCUAACACAUGCAAGUCGAACGAAGGCUUCGGCCUUAGUGGCGCACGGGUGCGUAACGCGUGGGAAUCUGCCCUUGGGUACGGAAUAACAGUUAGAAAUGACUGCUAAUACCGUAUAAUGACUUCGGUCCAAAGAUUUAUCGCCCAGGGAUGAGCCCGCGUCGGAUUAGCUAGUUGGUGAGGUAAAAGCUCACCAAGGCGACGAUCCGUAGCUGGUCUGAGAGGAUGAUCAGCCACACUGGGACUGAGACACGGCCCAGACUCCUACGGGAGGCAGCAGUGGGGAAUAUUGGACAAUGGGCGCAAGCCUGAUCCAGCAAUGCCGCGUGAGUGAUGAAGGCCUUAGGGUUGUAAAGCUCUUUUACCCGGGAAGAUAAUGACUGUACCGGGAGAAUAAGCCCCGGCUAACUCCGUGCCAGCCGCCGCGGUAAUUC